CAGGCUUAACACAUGCAAGUCGAGGGGCAUCAGGAAGAAAGCUUGCUUUCUUUGCUGGCGACCGGCGCACGGGUGAGUAACACGUAUCCAACCUGCCCUUUACUCGGGGAUAGCCUUUCGAAAGAAAGAUUAAUACCCGAUAGCAUAAUGAUUCCGCAUGGUUUCAUUAUUAAAGGAUUCCGGUAAAGGAUGGGGAUGCGUUCCAUUAGGUUGUUGGUGAGGUAACGGCCCACCAAGCCUUCGAUGGAUAGGGGUUCUGAGAGGAAGGUCCCCCACAUUGGAACUGAGACACGGUCCAAACUCCUACGGGAGGCAGCAGUGAGGAAUAUUGGUCAAUGGGCGCUAGCCUGAACCAGCCAAGUAGCGUGAAGGAUGAAGGCUCUAUGGGUCGUAAACUUCUUUUAUAUAAGAAUAAAGUGCAGUAUGUAUACUGUUUUGUAUGUAUUAUAUGAAUAAGGAUCGGCUAACUCCGUGCCAGCAGCCGCGGUAAUACGGAGGAUCCGAGCGUUAUCCGGAUUUAUUGGGUUUAAAGGGAGCGUAGGUGGACUGGUAAGUCAGUUGUGAAAGUUUGCGGCUCAACCGUAAAAUUGCAGUUGAUACUGUCAGUCUUGAGUACAGUAGAGGUGGGCGGAAUUCGUGGUGUAGCGGUGAAAUGCUUAGAUAUCACGAAGAACUCCGAUUGCGAAGGCAGCUCACUGGACUGCAACUGACACUGAUGCUCGAAAGUGUGGGUAUCAAACAGGAUUAGAUACCCUGGUAGUCCACACAGUAAACGAUGAAUACUCGCUGUUUGCGAUAUACAGUAAGCGGCCAAGCGAAGGCAUUAAGUAUUCCACCUGGGGAGUACGCCGGCAACGGUGAAACUCAAAGGAAUUGACGGGGGCCCGCACAAGCGGAGGAACAUGUGGUUUAAUUCGAUGAUACGCGAGGAACCUUACCCGGGCUUAAAUUGCAGUGGAAUGAUGUGGAAACAUGUCAGUGAGCAAUCACCGCUGUGAAGGUGCUGCAUGGUUGUCGUCAGCUCGUGCCGUGAGGUGUCGGCUUAAGUGCCAUAACGAGCGCAACCCUUAUCUUUAGUUACUAACAGGUUAUGCUGAGGACUCUAGAGAGACCGCCGUCGUAAGAUGUGAGGAAGGUGGGGAUGACGUCAAAUCAGCACGGCCCUUACGUCCGGGGCUACACACGUGUUACAAUGGGGGGUACAGAAGGCAGCUAGCGGGUGACCGUAUGCUAAUCCCAAAAUCCUCUCUCAGUUCGGAUCGAAGUCUGCAACCCGACUUCGUGAAGCUGGAUUCGCUAGUAAUCGCGCAUCAGCCACGGCGCGGUGAAUACGUUCCCGGGCCUUGUACACACCGCCCGUCAAGCCAUGGGAGCCGGGGGUACCUGAAGUACGUAACCGCAAGGAUCGUCCUAGGGUAAAACUGGUGACUGGGGCUC
rnacentral:rRNA from 1 species